UACGUAGGGUGCAAGCGUUGUCCGGAAUUAUUGGGCGUAAAGAGCUCGUAGGCGGUGUGUCGCGUCGGCCGUGAAAACCUGCAGCUUAACCGUGGGCUUGCAGCCGAUACGGGCAGGCUAGAGUUCGGUAGGGGAGACUGGAAUUCCUGGUGUAGCGGUGAAAUGCGCAGAUAUCAGGAGGAACACCGGUGGCGAAGGCGGGUCUCUGGGCCGAUACUGACGCUGAGGAGCGAAAGCGUGGGGAGCGAACAGG
rnacentral:rRNA from 1 species